CUCAUCCUCCCAUCUCUUAUCAGAAUUUUAUGCUUCCUCUUGAUUUUCAUGACCCUUCCCUUGGCCGUGAUCCCGUCGCUGUCUUGCGCGAAGAGCUUCGAUCACGCAGGUGACGCGAGCCCGCAUGACCCAGGCAACGGCCCUAGAUGCAGACGUCGCUGAUUUGAAUGAUUGAAGCUCACAGCCACUUGAUAAAGAACGAAUGGUCUUCGCAAUGAUAAGAGACGCGUGAUAGCGGAUCAUCUACUUUGCAAAGCACUUUCCUGGUUUUUCUAUUUAAUGUAUUCGAAAGCGUCUGUCUAAGUUAAAAUUACGGAGAAUAUUUCGAUUCUAGCAAGUACCCUGUAAGAAUUAAGAAUUUAUGCAUGGAUUUUCUAUUAAUGUAUUUGAAAGUCUCUGUGCAAGUUAGAUUACGCAAGAGUAUUUCGAUGCCAGGAAGUGAGCGAGCAAUGCAAGAAUUCUAUGCA